UUUUUAUUUUUAUAUUUUUAAUCUUGAUUUUAUUUUUUAUGUUAUUUAAAUAACAUAAAAAAUAAAAUAUAUACUGACAUGGAUUAAACAAAGAUAUAUAUUAUUUUAUGUUGUAUAAACAAAUUGGCAAAAUAGAGAUGGAAGAUAAAAAU
rnacentral:misc_RNA from 1 species